CCUACGGGAGGCUGCAGUAGGGAAUAUUGCUCAAUGGGGGAAACCCUGAAGCAGCCACGCCGCGUGGAGGAUGAAGGUUUUCGGAUUGUAAACUCCUUUUGUUAGAGAAGAUAAUGACGGUAUCUAACGAAUAAGCACCGGCUAACUCCGUGCCAGCAGCCGCGGUAAUACGGAGGGUGCCAGCGUUACUCGGAAUCACUGGGCGUAAAGAGCGCGUAGGCGGGAUAGCAAGUCAGAUGUGAAAUCCUAUGGCUUAACCAUAGAAUUGCAUUUGAAACUGGUAUUCUAGAGUAUGGGAGAGGUAGGUGGAAUUCUUGGUGUAGGGGUAAAAUGCGUAGAGAUCAAGAAGAAUACUCAUUGCGAAGGCGACCUGCUAGAACAUAACUGACGCCGAUGCGCGAAAGCGUGGGGAGCAAACAGGAUUAGAUACCCUAGUAGUC
rnacentral:rRNA from 1 species